rfam:Triticum aestivum genome assembly, contig: Triticum_aestivum_CS42_TGACv1_scaffold_569611_7AS
CAAAUACUCCCUCCGUCCCAAAAUUCUCGUCUUAGACUUAUCUAAAUACGGAUGUAUCAAGUCACGUUUUAGUAUUAAAUACAUCCUUAUCUAGACAAAUCUAAGACAAGAAUUUUGGGAUGGAUGGAGUAACAA